rnacentral:snRNA from 1 species
AUACUUACGUGGUGCCAGGGCCUCGUUAAUAACCGAGGACAAGCUUCCAGGGCGAGGCGUGGGCACUGAACUGCGCUCGCGUUGACCCCUGCCACUACCCCAAACUGGGGCAGAUGGGGCAUGGAAAUUGC